UACGUAGGGUGCAAGCGUUGUCCGGAAUUAUUGGGCGUAAAGAGCUUGUAGGCGGUUUGUCGCGUCUGCUGUGAAAUUUCGGGGCUCAACCCCGAACUUGCAGUGGGUACGGGCAGACUAGAGUGUGGUAGGGGCAAGCGGAAUUCCUGGUGUAGCGGUGAAAUGCGUAGAUAUCGGGAGGAACACCAGUGGCGAAGGCGACUACCUGGCCUGUUCUUGACGCUGAGGCGCGAAAGCUAGGGGAGCAAACGGGG
rnacentral:rRNA from 1 species